GACGUAGGGGGCCAGCGUUGUUCGGAAUUACUGGGUGUAAAGGGUUCGUAGGCGGUGCGGCAAGUCGGGAGUGAAAUCUCUGGGCUUAACCCAGAGGCUGCUUCCGAAACUGCUGUGCUUGAGUGUGGGAGAGGCGCGUGGAAUUGCAGGUGUAGCGGUGAAAUGCGUAGAUAUCUGCAGGAACACCCGUGGCGAAAGCGGCGCGCUGGACCACUACUGACGCUGAGACGCGAAAGCGUGGGGAGCGAACAGG
rnacentral:rRNA from 1 species